UACGGGGGGAGCAAGCGUUGUUCGGAAUUACUGGGCGUAAAGCGUGCGCAGGCGGUUUCUUAAGUCAGAUGUGAAAGCCCCGGGCUUAACCUGGGAACUGCGUUUGAAACUGGGAGGCUUGAGUGUGGCAGAGGGGGGUGGAAUUCCACGUGUAGCAGUGAAAUGCGUAGAUAUGUGGAGGAACACCGAUGGCGAAGGCGGCAUCCUGGACCGACACUGACGCUGAUGCGCGAAAGCCAGGGGAGCAAACGGG
rnacentral:rRNA from 1 species